AGAGUUAAACAGUACGUGAAAUUGUUGAAAGGGAAACGGUUGAAGUCAGUCAUGCCGGCAGGAAUCAACCUUAGGGGUGGCUUUGAGGUGCACUUCCUUGCUUGGCAGGUUAGCACCGAUUUUGGAUGCCAUAAAAUGAUCGGGGGAAGGUAGCUCCUUUUAGGAGUGUUAUAGCCCUUGGUUAAUGUGAUAUCCGGGAUCGAGGAUUGCAACGGAUACCCGUCAGGGCUAGCCACCUGGCCUCUGUCUCGAUGUUGGGUCAUGGACAGCAUGCCGACUGUGAUCUGAUCAUUGAUCAAAAGGUUAGAGUGAGCAUAAAUUCGUUAAGGAUGCUGACGUAAUGGCUUUAAACGA
rnacentral:misc_RNA from 1 species